AGUGGCGGACGGGUGAGUAACGCGUGAGAAUCUGCCUUCAGGUCGGGGACAACAGUUGGAAACGACUGCUAAUACCCGAUGUGCAGCAAUGUGAAAGAUUUAUUGCCUGAAGAUGAGCUCGCGUCUGAUUAGCUAGUUGGUGUGGUAAUGGCGCACCUAGGCGACGAUCAGUAACUGGUCUGAGAGGAUGACCGGUCACACUGGGACUGAGACACGGCCCAGACUCCUACGGGAGGCAGCAGUGGGGAAUUUUCCGCAAUGGGCGAAAGCCUGACGGAGCAAUACCGCGUGAGGGACGACGGCUUUUGGGUUGUAAACCUCUUUUCCCUGGGAAGAAGAUCUGACGGUACCAGGGGAAUCAGCAUCGGCUAACUUCGUGCCAGCAGCCGCGGUAAUACGAGGGAUGCAAGCGUUAUCCGGAAUUAUUGGGCGUAAAGCGUCCGCAGGUGGCUCUGUAAGUCUGUCGUUAAAGAAUGGAGCUUAACUCCAUACAGGCGAUGGAAACUACAAGGCUAGAGUUUGGUAGGGGUCACGGGAAUUCUUAGUGUAGCGGUGAAAUGCGUAGAUAUUAAGAAGAACACCAGCGGCGAAAGCGCGUGACUGGGCCAGUACUGACACUCAUGGACGAAAGCUAGGGGAGCGAAAGGGAUUAGAUACCCCUGUAGUCCUAGCCGUAAACGAUGAUAACUAGGUGUUGCUC
rnacentral:rRNA from 1 species